AAGACUAAGACUAAUUUAUGCAUGAUAUUGUUUUUUGUCUGGUUUGAAUUACGGUAACUGGAAAUUUUUUAUUUCAGUUUAGGCUUGACAAGAAGUCUGAAAGUAAAGACUAGAAAUGUAUUGCUUUGAAGAAAACCUAAGUAUGAUUCUGAUUUCAGAAUCAAUUUGUAAGCAAGGUUGGGCAAUUCAACCAUUAAUUAUUUGUCAUGGUUUAGAGUUGUAAAUUCUUCUGCGCACUGAAGGAGUAGAAUUUCUGGAUAGUUUGCAUUCAGUAAGUUUGUCAUACCCGUUCAAGUCAACGGCAAAUUAUUUAUGCAGGUUGAUGCUCAUUUUGAGUAUUUCAAUUUGAUUUGAAAGGAGUACCGGUAUAGUGUCCAGAAAUCAGAAGAAUUCCAGUUUUUUUUUUUUUGGCCUAUGAAAUUGACAAUUGGUCAAUAAGUUGUUUUUGUCAUUUUCAAUUUUCACUUGUGUGUAUAAGGAAGUCAUAGUUUUUUCAUGACAACAGGGCAAUCAGUGAAUUUACACCAGUUCGGAUUUCUAAGAAUUUUUAAACGUGCUUGUGCUCAUUUAAAACGGUUUGAUAGGAAUGUAAUACUUACAUGUACAUGUUAUUUCUUGAUAAUUGGUAACAUAGAUUACAUUCCAUCUGAUAUUUCAGACCAGUGGUCAGAACCUUGUUAUUUUUACUAAAAUGUGAAAAAUUACUUGUUGAAUGAUAUUCCACGUAUUAAUUUGCAUACUUAAGCUUGAUGUAAUAUCAUGCAUGUAUAUAAUGUGAAGUACGUACUGUACAACUUUUUGAUCUCUGUGGAGUUAUCGGUUAAUAACUGGCAAAGAAAUACCUAUAGAGGGUAAAUUAGUUUCAGUUUUUCAACUGAUUUAAAGGAGCCAUGUAGAUGACGUUGACUUGCUCAGAAAUUUGUCGCCCUCUAGUGGCAGCUGAUUUUUGGUUCGAUGGAGCAAGCUGAGUUUGUUUGUUACCGAAUGUUUUGAUUUGUCAAAAGUCGUAUUCUGAGGGAUAUUCAGUUCACAAAAGGGCACAGAGUUUUCACGGAGUUACAUGGAUGGAUACGGAGACGUAAAAUAAAGAUUGACAACUCCCGUAAAA